CCAAUAGCGUAUAUUAAAGUUGUUGCAGUUAAAAAGCUCGUAGUUGAAUUUCGGGGUUCUUCCGUUGGUCAGGCUAACAAGUCUGUACUAACGUGUAGAAUCUCUACCUUCUGGGGAACCAUCAUGUUAUUAAUUUAGCGUGGUGGGAAACCAGGACCUUUACCUUGAAAAAAUUAGAGUGUUCAAAGCAGGCUUACGUCUGAAUACAUUAGCAUGGAAUAAUAAAAUAGGACGGUGGUCCUGUUUUGUUGGUUUCUGAAUCACCGUAAUGAUUAAUAGGGAUAGUUGGGGGCAUUAGUAUUCAAUUGUCAGAGGUGAAAUUCUUGGAUUUAUUGAAGACUAACUUCUGCGAAAGCAUUUGCCAAGGAUGUUUUCAUUAAUCAAGAACGAAAGUUAGGGGAUCGAAGACGAUCAGAUACCGUCGUAGUCUUAACCAUAAACUAUGCCUACUAGGGAUCGGACGAUGUUAAAUUUUAUUGACUCGUUCGGCGCCUUACG
rnacentral:rRNA from 1 species